GAUGAACGCUAGCUACAGGCUUAACACAUGCAAGUCGCGGGGCAGCAUGGGGGUUGCUUGCCAUCCCCGAUGGCGACCGGCGCACGGGUGAGUAACGCGUAUCCAACCUGCCCUUCACCACGGGAUAACCCGGCGAAAGUCGGACUAAUACCGUAUGUUGUCCAUUGACGGCAUCCGAUUUGGACGAAAGGCUUGGCGGUGAGGGAGGGGGAUGCGUCCGAUUAGCCAGACGGCGGGGUAACGGCCCACCGUGGCUACGAUCGGUAGGGGUUCUGAGAGGAAGGUCCCCCACACUGGAACUGAGACACGGUCCAGACUCCUACGGGAGGCAGCAGUGAGGAAUAUUGGUCAAUGGGCGUAAGCCUGAACCAGCCAAGUAGCGUGCAGGAUGACGGCCCUAUGGGUUGUAAACUGCUUUUAUGCGGGGAUAAAGUGGCCCACGGGUGGGCUUUUGCAGGUACCGCAUGAAUAAGGACCGGCUAAUUCCGUG
rnacentral:rRNA from 1 species